GAUGAAGAACGUAGCGAAAUGCGAUAAGUAAUGUGAAUUGCAGAAUUCAGUGAAUCAUCGAGUCUUUGAACGCACAUUGCGCCCCCUGGUAUUCCGGGGGGCAUGCCUGUCCGAGCGUCAUUGCCGCCCUCAAGCACGGCUUGUGUGUUGGGCCACCGCCCCCCGGCUUCGGGGGGCGGGCCCGAAAGGCAGCGGCGGCACCGCGUCCGGUCCUCGAGCGUAUGGGGCUUCGUCACCCGCUCUGUAGGCCCGGCCGGCGCCCGCCGGCGACCCCAAUCAAUCUUUCCAGGUUGACCUCGGAUCAGGUAGGGAUACCCGCUGAACUUAAGCAUAUCAAUAAGCGGAGGA
rnacentral:misc_RNA from 1 species